rnacentral:rRNA from 1 species
CUUUUGAAUGUCUGACCCAUCAAAUGUCGUCGGAAGGUGCUAUGCUUUCCAUGUUGACAACGGGUAACGGGGAAUCAGGGUUCGAUUCCGGAGAGGGGGCCUGAGAAAUGGCCACCACAUCCAAGGAAGGCCACAGGCGCGCAACUUACCCACUCCUUACACGGGGAGGUAGUGACAAAAAAUAGAGAUGGGGGGACUCGGUCGAGGACUCCUAAUCUCAAUGAGUACACUUUAAAUCCUCUAUCGAGGAUCAAUUGGAGGGCAAGUCUGGUGCCAGCAGCCGCGGUAAUUCCAGCUCCAAUAGCGUAUAUUAAAGUUGUUGCGGUUAAAAGCUCGUAGUUGGAUCUCGGGUACGCCCUGGCUGGGCUCGCGGCCGGCUUCGUAGGUACCUAGGUACCCGCCCUGCGACGUCCGGCCUUGGCUCCCUCACGGUUGCAGUGGAUUCGUUCCACCGUCUCCCUGGUGUGUCGGGCAUCCGAAAAGGCUCUGCUUGGCCCGGGGCGGACGGCUUCCGACGUUCUGAAAGGGACUGUUGGGGCGGCAUCCCGUUUUACUUUGAAAAAAUUAGAGUGUUCAAAGCAGGCCUAAGGCCUAGAUGGUAGCGCAUGGAAUAAUAGAAAAGGGCCACGGUCCUAUUUUGUUGGUUUUCGGAAUUGAGGCAAUGAUUAAGAGGGACAAACGGGGGCAUUCGUACUGCGCCGCGAGGGGUGAAAUCCGUAGACCGGCGCAAGACGGACUACUGCGAAAGCAUUUGCCAAGAAUGUUUUCAUUGAUCAAGAACGAAAGUCAGAGGUUCGAAGACGAUCAGAUACCGUCCUAGUUCUGACCAUAAACGAUGCCAUCUUGCCAUCUGGCCGCCAUCGCUUACAUGUACGGCCGGGCAGCCCCCGGGAAACCUAAGCCUUUGGGUUCCGGGGGAAGUAUGGUUGCAAAACUGAAACUUAAAGGAAUUGACGGAAGGGCACCACCAGGAGUGGAGCCUGCGGCUUAAUUUGACUCAACACGUGGGAAACUUACCCGGCCCGGACAGCGUAAGGAUUGACAGAUUAAGAGCUCUUUCUUGAUUCGGUGGUUGGUGGUGCAUGGCCGUUCUUAGUUGGUGGAGCGAUUUGUCUGGUUAAUUCCGAUAACGAACGAGACUCUAACCUAUUAAAUAGCUCACCUUAGACUGCCAUUACGAAGGGUGCUAUAUUAAUUGCAAACGCUUCUUAGAGGGACAGGCUGCGAAAGAAGCAGUACGAGAUUGAGCAAUAACAGGUCUGUGAUGCCCUUAGAUGUCCGGGGCCGCACGCGCGCUACACUGAGAGUGCCAAAGGGUCUCAAAACCCUUGCCCGUCUGGGAUUAGGCAAACCGUGAAACGCUGUCGUACUUGGGCCUGGGGCUUGCAAUUGUGCCCCACAAACGAGGAAUUCCUAGUAAGCGUGAGUAAUCAGCUCGUGUUGAUUACGUCCCUGCCCUUUGUACACACCGCCCGUCGCUACUACCGAUUGAAUGGUUUGGUAAGGGGCUUGGACGGGUCGCGGGCUGGCUGGGGUUCGCCCCCCGUGCCGGCCGUCUGUGUGCCUGAAAGAGCUCCGAACUCGAUCAUUUAGAGGAAGUAAAAGUCGUAACAAGG